rnacentral:rRNA from 1 species
AUUGAACGCUGGCGGCAGGCUUAACACAUGCAAGUCGAGCGGAGCGAGGGUGCUUGCACCUUAGCUUAGCGGCGGACGGGUGAGUAAUGCUUAGGAAUCUGCCUAUUAGUGGGGGACAACAUUCCGAAAGGAAUGCUAAUACCGCAUACGCCCUACGGGGGAAAGCAGGGGAUCUUCGGACCUUGCGCUAAUAGAUGAGCCUAAGUCGGAUUAGCUAGUUGGUGGGGUAAAGGCCUACCAAGGCGACGAUCUGUAGCGGGUCUGAGAGGAUGAUCCGCCACACUGGGACUGAGACACGGCCCAGACCCCUACGGGAGGCAGCAGUGGGGAAUAUUGGACAAUGGGCGGAAGCCUGAUCCAGCCAUGCCGCGUGUGUGAAGAAGGCCUUUUGGUUGUAAAGCACUUUAAGCGAGGAGGAGGCUCUUAAGGUUAAUACCCUUGAUGAGUGGACGUUACUCGCAGAAUAAGCACCGGCUAACUCUGUGCCAGCAGCCGCGGUAACAC